UACGUAGGGUGCGAGCGUUAAUCGGAAUUACUGGGCGUAAAGCGUGCGCUAGGCGGUUCGCCAAGUCAGGUGUGAAAUCCCCGGGCUUAACCUGGGAAUUGCGCUUGAAACUAGCGGGCUUGAGUGUGGCAGAGGGGGGUGGAAUUCCACGUGUAGCAGUGAAAUGCGUAGAGAUGUGGAGGAACACCGAUGGCGAAGGCAGCCCCCUGGGUCAAGAUUGACGCUCAUGCACGAAAGCGUGGGGAGCAAACAGG
rnacentral:rRNA from 1 species